rnacentral:misc_RNA from 1 species
AUCGUCGGACAACGAUCACGUGACAUCAGCCGCCAUUUUAAAAUUUGCAGGUUGUGUGCAGUGCUCAAAUCUGAGAUACAACGAUUUAUUGUCGCUAUACGAAUGACACGUUGACAGUUGUGCUUUGCUGUUAUGAACAUCUGUUCGUAGGGUCUUUGAUCGACCUGAAUUGUCUCGAUUGCAAAGAUUCCUAGAAGGACUAGGAGUGAAACAGCCCUACAACCACAGUGCGACAAGAAGCAGGAUGGCGGGAUCAGUUAGCCCCGUUUUGUCGCUUCAACGAUGUGACGAAGAUAUUGACUUGUUGUCGGAGUUGCUGGGUUCAAAUUCAAAUGGAUCAAGCAGUAACAGUAUAGAUAUUGCAGAAAGUCUGCUUAGCGAUGAUAUGGAUGAUCUUACCGGCUAUCUUUGCAGGAACUCGAAACGUCUCAAUCGGGGUGGGGAGGGUUCGUUCUCAGGUCAAGAGUGCCUGGAUGAUCUAAAUUUAGGUUGUCAUGAUAGUGAUAUUUCAAUGAACCCUGUCCGCGACAGUCCAAUGCACACGACAGUAAAGGGUGAAACCAGAGUAGAUAAACCUAUUACGACCAAGGCUACCAAAAGCCGAGAACUUAUGUAUACUGUCAUCGCUCAAAAGGAACCCAAAUCUAUGAAUAAGAACGCUGUCGCCGCAAGGGAAAAUAGACAAAAAAGAAAGAAGUACAUUGAAAACAUCGAGAGAGAAGUAGCACAACUUAAAGAGGAGAAUGCAGCACUUAAGAUGAAGGUGUCUUGCCAAGGUGACAGUGUAGAGAAACUGAAUGAGCAAGUAAAGUAUCUGCAAAGUGUUAUUUCUAAUCAGUCCACCAUAUCAGCCUUAUUGCAGAACAUUCAAAAUACAGCUGGUGUCACACUGAAAUCAUCUUGGGUUGAUUUGGGGAAACAGUCUGAUGCAUGUUCAACCUUUACACAGAGUGGGAAGAAAAAUGUUGAAAACUGCAAGUCCCGACUUCGUAAAUCAAAGCGUAAGUGUGUGUUUGAGUCAGAAAGUGUGUUGAGCCGAGAUAAGAAGUUGUGUUUUGAGAAGGAAAACACAAAUGGUAAUGUCCAGCUUACAAGUGGUUCAGAGUCCAGUCCAAGUGUAAAGAGUGAGGUAAAAAGUAACAGCACCGCAGAGACUGAUCAAGAUGUGUUCAACUUAAACCAGCAGACUAGUGCUGGUGUGUGCCUUCAUGUGUCUGGGAAGCAAGUUUCGCUUGAGUUCUGUUCAGCCUGCAGCAAAAUGGCAUCCACAACAAGAGUCUUGGAUGAUCACAGUUACGUCAGACCAUCAACAGAAUUGGAAUGAAUAUCAUUCUCUUUGUUAUACCAUUUUGUAUGUACAGUGUAGAUUUAUAUUUAGGGCUGAAGCAAUACACUAUGGAACCAUUAUUCUUAUGUCAUUCUUCUGAAAUUAUUAAUAAUUUUAGUAUUAGUGAAUUGUUUCAGUCUCAUUUUGGUUUGAAUAUUUCAAAUCUGAUCAUGUAAAUAUUACUUAUGCCUUGUGAAUAAGUGGUUUGUUAUGCAGUAUUGUCAUUUGUGUAAUCCUGGUUGAAUGGGUGUGUAAAAUGUUACAGAUGACAAUGCUUGUGACAAGUCACUUAAUGUGUCAGAUGUUUAUGUCAAGAUGUUUUGGUCAUAAACUAAACAAUAUUGUUUACCUUUCCAGCCUUCAAAGCUAGACCAAUCUCUAGACAUGAAGUUGCAAUACUUCUGGAUUGACGGUGUAGUAUAAGACAUGAAUGGGAGGUCAGUAAUGAAUGACCUUUGGUUGAGAAGCGAUGAUCCCAAUCUCUUUAUUUUCACAGUUACCAAUGGUUAGUAUUUUUAUGAGCUAUCUUUUACUUAUGCACUCUUAGUCUUACAAGGUAAGAGAAAGUGAAGACAUUACUAGUAUAUUAUAGUACCAAUUUGCUGGUUACUCUCUAUUCUUUUCAGGGAUGCACAAAGACUGCACUGAUAACCAGUGUGGUAACCAUGGCAACAUUUUAAUUCAUGUGUUACUGGUUACAUGUUGAACAUUAAGUUAUGAAAUGACUGACAACUUAACCCUAUCAAGACUGGGCAGAAGAGAUACCUUGAUGGACUGAAAUCUCAAAAUUUGUGCCAAAUUAUGGCAUUAUGUAAUGUUGUUAACUUUAGUUUCACAUUUUGUAGUUUUGCUGAUCUUGUACAGUAAUGUUGGCCAAACAUCUCGCAUUUACCAAAUAAUCUGACGAAGAUUACAAAGGAAAACGAUUGCAUUCAACAUGCUCAAAGAAUCAUUCAUGUUUGUUGUUAUUUAGAAAGAUGGAGGAGGAACAUUCCACUAUUAAAUGAUUAUUCUUUCGUUUUCUCUGAAUGGGAAUCAAAUUGACCUGAAAACCUUUUGUUCAUUCAUGAUAUGUUUUGCCAACCUUAUGAUUAUUAUUACAAAUGUGACACAUUUUAGCUGUUAGUUUUGCUUUUUCAUGGGGCAGUGUUGAUGCUGGAUCUCUUAGAGUGGCAUGACCUUCAUAUCACCCGCCUGAAGGUCACGUAAGUAUGGGGACAGUAAGUUACCCAGGUCAGGUUUCUUAAUAUUUAUUACUCGUUGACAUUUAUUAGUACUGAGUCUCUUCUGACUGCUGUGAAAUGGGUCCAUGUAAAUGCUGCAAAGUUUCACAAUGUUAAGGUUUCACUGAAGUUGGUUGAAUUUCAUUGUCUGUAAUUUGAUCCUGAUAUAUCAAUUAACUCGAUAUACUAUUCUGUUUGGUGAUUAUUGUGGCAGAACUUAUCUGUACAAAUUCUUUACCAUGUCAUCCUCACCAUGUGUAAGUUCAUCUGAAAAUCUUGUAAUGGGUUUGGAGUUGUCUAGUCGUCUAAUUCUUUGACAUUUUAAGCCAAAUGGAGGUGUUGCUUACAAGUGUGUAUGGUGCCUCUUAAAAACAAUUUUUUCAAAUAGUGGUGUGAUAAUGUCAUAUCUGAAAGAUUGUGGACAAACAUGAGGUGAGGAGACCUGCAGACAAUGUUAUUCCCUGACUUGGUGAAUAUCACAUUCUGUAUGCCAUUGAUAUGAUUGUCCUGUUUGUUGUAAAAUGAAAAACAAUAAAUGAUCAAAUUGAAA